rnacentral:rRNA from 1 species
UACGGGGGGGGGCAAGCGUUGUUCGGAAUUACUGGGCGUAAAGGGCUCGUAGGCGGCCAACUAAGUCAGACGUGAAAAUCCCUCGGCUUAACCGGGGAACUGCGUCUGAUACUGGAUGGCUUGAGUUUGGGAGAGGGAUGCGGAAUUCCAGGUGUAGCGGUGAAAUUCGUAGAUAUUCGGAAGAACACCAGUGGCGAAGGCGACUCACUGGACACAUAUUGACGCUGAGGUGCGAAAAGCGUGGGGGAGCAAACAGG